AACUGUAAAUAUUUUUCAUAAGAUUACCUCAAAAAAUAUCUGAGACUACUUCCUUGUCCCUUACUUUCAUGUCCAUGUUUACAUGAACAUCUAGCUAGGUAUUUAGUUGUAUCUGUUGGUUAAGAUAUAGCACCACUAAUUCGGUCUCAGUCAGAAAGCAAAACACAGAAAGAAGAACAUACAUAACACAAAAAAAUUCCUUCCCAUGGAUGUAACUCUCAAAUUAUGUAGAAUAUUUUAGCUAUAUAACUGGUGAUAAUUGGAGAACGCGUUUUGCCAUAUAAUUUUGAAUAAUGAAAACAUUGCAAAAAUUUUAAAGGAGGGUACAUUUUGCCUGUUUGUCAGAUUUGAAGUACCUGUUCUGAUACAUUGAAGUUCUAGGAACCAGUUCUUUCUUAUAUGCCAUUAAAGGUAUGUUGAUUUUUUUCAGUACAUAACAAACUUAGGUGUUGCUGUGACAUGCAAUGUUGUCACUUUAUUUAAACAUAAGAAAAAGAGGUGUGCCUACUUGAAAUUAAGGAAUUUAAUAUAAAAAGCAAUGGGGCCAUGAAUUAGUUGUUUACUAAUUUUAUUUUAUUGAAAGAUUUUGUUCUUGAUUUGCUGUGUUUCUUUUUUUUCACCACCUCUUUCGCCAAAACAAUAUAUUUUUUGCUAUUUUUUUUUUCAUCAAAAAAUGUAAAGUGUUCCCAAACUGUUGAAUAAAUUUCUUCAUAACUACAGUUUUCUUUUCCGGACCAUCGUUAAUAAAAGAAGCAGAGGAGACAUCAAAAGAUUCAACAUCUGUGUCGAAAAGUGGUUAAUAAAUCCUUUAUGCCACAUGUGAGGGACAUCAUUUAACCUUAUCAUUCAAUCAACACCUUUAUCAAUUAGUCCUUUGUUUCUUACAGCUAUAAUAUGCAAUCAGCUGAUUAUUCAUUUUCUGUCAAAAUCUUAACGAGUCUAAGGUGAAUUCCGAGUAUUGUCUGAUCAGGUAAACUCAGAGAAACCCGAAACAAAAUAAAUAAACAAGAUGGAUGAAAUUUAACUGUUAUAUAUUUUUCUUUGGUUAAAUUCUUUCGCAAAUGAUGAAUUUUAAUCGACACAAUUAUUAUUUUUUUGCAAAAUGCAAAAACGGCGACCACCAGCGGCAACCCUGUUGAUUUACAUUUUGCUUUUUUGUGAGUUUGAUAAGUAUCCAUAUUAUUAGAUUAUUAAAUAGUUUUGUAAAUACCACCUAUAUAUGCUUUAUAGUAUUGUUUUUUCUAUCAUAUGUCAAAUAAAAUAUAACAAGAC
rnacentral:lncRNA from 1 species